GGGCGAAAGCCUGACGCAGCGACGCCGCGUGAGGGAUGAAGGCCUUCGGGUUGUAAANNNCNUUCAGCAGGGACGAAGCGAAAGUGACUGUACCUGCAGAAGAAGCACCGGCUAACUACGUGCCAGCAGCCGCGGUAAUACGUAGGGUGCAAGCGUUGUCCGGAAUUAUUGGGCGUAAAGAGCUCGUAGGCGGUUUGUCGCGUCGGAUGUGAAAACUUGGGGCUCAACCCCAAGCCUGCAUUCGAUACGGGCAAACUAGAGUUCGGUAGGGGAGACUGGAAUUCCUGGUGUAGCGGUGAAAUGCGCAGAUAUCAGGAGGAACACCGAUGGCGAAGGCAGGUCUCUGGGCCGAUACUGACGCUGAGGAGCGAAAGCGUGGGGAGCGAACAGGAUUAGAUACCCUGGUAGUCCACGCCGUAAACGGUGGGCGCUAGGUGUGGGGCACAUUCCACGUGUUCUGCGCCGCAGCUAACGCAUUAAGCGCCCUGCCUGGGGAGUACGGCCGCAAGGCUAAAACUCAAAGGAAUUGACGGGGGCCCGCACAAGCGGCGGAGCAUGCGGCUUAAUUCGACGCAACGCGAAGAACCUUACCAAGGCUUGACAUAUACGGAAAUCUGGCAGAGAUGUCAGGUCCGCAAGGGUCGUAUACAGGUGGUGCAUGGUUGUCGUCAGCUCGUGUCGUGAGAUGUUGGGUUAAGUCCCGCAACGAGCGCAACCCUCGUUCUAUGUUGCCAGCGCGUUAUGGCGGGGACUCAUAGGAGACUGCCGGGGUCAACUCGGAGGAAGGU
rnacentral:rRNA from 1 species